rnacentral:rRNA from 1 species
AUUGAACGCUGGCGGUAUGCUUAACACAUGCAAGUCGAACGGUAACAGGUCUUCGGAUGCUGACGAGUGGCGGACGGGUGAGUAACGCGUAGGAAUCUGCCUAUUAGUGGGGGACAACAUGUGGAAACGCAUGCUAAUACCGCAUACGCCCUACGGGGAAAGGAGGGGACCUUCGGGCCUUUCGCUAAUAGAUGAGCCUGCGUUAGAUUAGCUAGUUGGUGGGGUAAAGGCCUACCAAGGCGACGAUCUAUAGCUGUUCUGAGAGGAAGAUCAGCCACACUGGGACUGAGACACGGCCCAGACUCCUACGGGAGGCAGCAGUGGGGAAUAUUGGACAAUGGGCGCAAGCCUGAUCCAGCAAUACCGCGUGUGUGAAGAAGGCCCUAGGGUUGUAAAGCACUUUCAAUGGGGAGGAAAAAGAGUAAGACUAAUAACCUUGCUUAUUGACAUUACCCAUACAAGAAGCACCGGCUAACUCCGUGCCAGCAGCCGCGGUAA